UUUAAAAUUAGGUACCAGGUUUGGCAAACCAUUUAUUGUUGGAAUGUUUCAAAACUUGGGGCCAUUUCGGUGUUCCGGGUUGAAAACCCAUAUAAGCAGGGUGAGAACUUCUUGUAGAGGGACUGGCCACUUUCAUACAAAGUGCACGAGGGAAAGAGCAAUAACAGGUCUGUGAUGCAACCCUAAGAUGUCCCGGGGCCGCACGCGUGCUACAAUGACGGAUGCAAAUGAGCAUGAUUUGCUGGUCCGAAAGGAUCGGCAAACCUGUUCAAUCAUUCGUCCGUGAAUGGGAUUGGGGUUUGCAAUUAUCCCCCAUGAACGAGGAAUUCCUAGUAAGCACAAGUCAUAAGCUUGAUUGCUGAUUACGUCCCUGCCCUUUGUACACACCGCCCGUCGGGCUACUACCGAUUGAAUGGUUUAGCAAGGUUAUUGGAUCCGAGCUGAGCGGUUCACGCUGCUCUGUUUGGAGAAGAUGACCGAACUUGAUCAUUUAGAGGAAGUAAAAGUCGUAACAAGGUUUCCGUAGGUGAAACCUGCGGAAGGAUCAUUCUACAUAAUUUCUCUCCACAAUAUUGUGGUCCCAUCAGAAGCCCCCGAGCGCACAUUGGCCGAGGCGCGGUUCCCCCGAGGGGUCAACACGGGAAUCAGACGGUAAGUGUUUAAGUCUUGCCUCCAAAGAGCACAAUAAUUCCUUCGAGAAAGCCCAAACAGCCCGGCCAGCACCACGCUCCUGCCCCAGCUUUCCUGCUGCCUCGGUAGGAUGUUCCGCCCAUACCUCUCCAAGCGUUCGUGUUGGGACACCAGCUGCUGUUUCUGAGGAUCGGGAGGAGGACGUAACAGGUGAGCACGCGUCCUCUGCUAGGGCACAAAAAUGGCGGUGGGAGAGGGAGACACCCUGUCCCGAUGGAUGAGCAAUGCCGCUCCUAAAACUACUUUUCCU
rnacentral:rRNA from 1 species